rnacentral:rRNA from 1 species
UACAGAGGUCCCGAGCGUUGUUCGGAUUCACUGGGCGUAAAGGGUGCGCAGGUGGGUUGGCAAGUUUGAUGUGAAAGCCCCGGGCUUAACCCGGGAAUGGCAUUGAAUACUGCUGAUCUGGAGGAUCGGAGGGGGGACUGGAAUUCUUGGUGUAGCAGUGAAAUGCGUAGAUAUCGGGAGGAACACCAGUGGCGAAGGCGACUUCCUGGCCUGUUCUUGACGCUGAGGCGCGAAAGCUAGGGUAGCAAACGGG